rnacentral:rRNA from 1 species
UCCUGGCUCAGGAUUAACGCUGGCGGUAUGCCUAACACAUGCAAGUCGAACGGAAUACUAAUUAAGAGAAUCUCACACUAGUGAGAGGUUCUCACGAGUAGUAUUUAGUGGCGGACGGGUGAGUAACACGUUGGAACCUGCCCCGAAGUGGGGAAUAACUGCUCGAAAGAGUAGCUAAUACCCCAUAGUAUCCGGUUUAUCCGGAUUAAAGAUUUAUCGCUUCGGGAGGGGCCUGCGUCUGAUUAGCUAGUUGGUGAGGUAAAAGCUCACCAAGGCGACGAUCAGUAGCUGGUUCGAGAGGAUGACCAGCCACACUGGGACUGAGAUACGGCCCAGACUCCUACGGGAGGCAGCAGUGAGGAAUCUUCCACAAUGGGCGCAAGCCUGAUGGAGCAAUACCGCGUGCAGGAAGACGCUUUUCGGAGUGUAAACUGCUUUUGUCGUCGAAGAUUAUGACUGUAGACGAAGAAUAAGGACCGGCUAACUACGUG